GAUGAACGCUGGCGGCGUGCCUAAUACAUGCAAGUCGAGCGAACAGACGAGGAGCUUGCUCCUUUGACGUUAGCGGCGGACGGGUGAGUAACACGUAGGUAACCUACCUAUAAGACUGGGAUAACUUCGGGAAACCGGAGCUAAUACCGGAUAAUAUUUCGAACCGCAUGGUUCGAUAGUGAAAGAUGGUUUUGCUAUCACUUAUAGAUGGACCUGCGCCGUAUUAGCUAGUUGGUAAGGUAACGGCUUACCAAGGCAACGAUACGUAGCCGACCUGAGAGGGUGAUCGGCCACACUGGAACUGAGACACGGUCCAGACUCCUACGGGAGGCAGCAGUAGGGAAUCUUCCGCAAAGGGCGAAAGCCUGACGGAGCAACGCCGCGUGAGUGAUGAAGGUCUUCGGAUCGUAAAACUCUGUUAUUAGGGAAGAACAAAUGUGUAAGUAACUGUGCACGUCUUGACGGUACCUAAUCAGAAAGCCACGGCUAACUACGUG
rnacentral:rRNA from 1 species